AGCAUGGACAGCAGUGAUAGUGAGAGGGCCCAACAUGGGCAGCAGUGAUAGUGAGAGGGCACAGCAUGGGCAGCAGUGAUAGUGAGAGGGCCCAGCAUGGGCAGCAGUGAUAGUGAGAGGGCACAGCAUGGACAGCAGUGAUAGUGAGAGGGCACAGCAUGGACAGCAGUGAUAGUGAGAGGGAACAGUAUGGGCAGCAGUGAUAGUGAGAGGGACAGCAUGGACAGCAGUGAUAGUGAGAGGGAACAAUAUGGUCAGCAGUGAUAGUGAGAGGGCACAGCAUGGACAGCAGUGAUAGUGAGAGGGCACAGCAUGGACAGCAGUGAUAGUGAGAGGGAACAGUAUGGACAGCAGUGAUAGUGAGAGGGCCCAGCAUGGGCAGCAGUGAUAGUGAGAGGGCCCAGCAUGGGCAGCAGUGAUAGUGAGAGGGCCCAGCAUGGGCAGCAGUGAUAGUGAGAGGGCCCAGCAUGGGCAGCAGUGAUAGUGAGAGGGCCCAGCAUGGGCAGCAGUGAUCGUGAGAGGCAAGAUGUGCAUUGGAGUUCAGCUGUGGAAAAUCAGAGAUGGAAUCUUGAGAGA
rnacentral:lncRNA from 1 species